AGCUACGGCCAUGCCACCCUGAAUGUGCCUGAUCUUGUCUGAUCUCGGAAGCUAAGCAGAGUCGGGCUUGGUUAAUACUUGGAUGGGAGACCACCUAGAAAUGCCAGGUGCUAUAGGCG
rnacentral:rRNA from 1 species